rnacentral:rRNA from 1 species
UACGUAGGGGGCUAGCGUUGUCCGGAAUCAUUGGGCGUAAAGCGCGCGUAGGCGGCCCGGUAAGUCCGCUGUAAAAGUCCAGGGCUCAACCCUGGAACGCCGGUGGAUACUGUCGGGCUAGAGUCCGGAAGAGGCGAGUGGAACUCCUGGUGUAGCGGUGGAAUGCGCAGAUAUCAGGAAGAACACCAACGGCGAAGGCAGCUCGCUGGGACGGAACUGACGCUGAGGCGCGAAAGCGUGGGGAGCGAACAGG